CCUACGGGAGGCUGCAGUGAGGAAUAUUGGUCAAUGGCCGGGAGGCUGAACCAGCCAAGUCGCGUGAGGGAAGACGGCCCUACGGGUUGUAAACCUCUUUUGUCAGGGAGCAAGGUCCAGGCCGGGACCUGCUGUGAGAGUACCUGAAGAAAAAGCAUCGGCUAACUCCGUGCCAGCAGCCGCGGUAAUACGGAGGAUGCGAGCGUUAUCCGGAUUUAUUGGGUGUAAAACGAGCGCAGGCGGGUUAACAAGUUUGGUAUGAAAGGGUUUUGCUUAACGAAAGUUUGUAUCAAAAACUGUUAAUCUAGAGUGUAGUAGAGGGUUCUGGAAUUCCAUGUGGAGCGGUGGAAUGCGUAGAUAUAUGGAAGAACACCAGUGGCGAAGGCGGGAAAUUAGGCUAUCACUGACGCUUAGGCUCGAAAGUGUGGGUAGCAAAUAGGAUUAGAUACCCUAGUAGUC
rnacentral:rRNA from 1 species